UCUGCCUGCAGAGAAGCACACAGCACGCUGUGAGGAAGGCUGGGUGACAGGAGAGCCAGGAGCUGUUUGGCUGCAGCCCCGGCCCCCUGCUGAGUGCAGCAGUUCAGGAACCCCGAUACCAUCACAGACCCGGCGCCUGAGCCACACGUAGAUCUGAAGUCAGGGACACCAGAUUCUUGCCUUGGGAAACACCGCUCUCAAUUAUGCAAAAGACCCCAUCAAGUCAGAGCUGAUUCCACUCUCUUGAACCAAGAGAUCCCCAAGACAGAGGUGAACACUGAGCUACCCGAGACCUCCGCGAGGCAGGAUGGCGGCUAACGGACAGAUGCUGAGCCAGACUCCAUGGGUUUGAUUCCUAGCUCAGCCACUUCCUAGCUGUGUGCAUUUGGGUGUUACAGGAGUACCUACCAGCAUGUCAGAGUCUUGAAACGUGGCACGAGGAAGGAGGCCCAGGGAGGUGACGUGAACAGCCAGCCUGUGGGCUGCCUCGGGGUUCAGCAGC